rnacentral:rRNA from 1 species
GUCUUAUUGAUAAUAAUUUUAAGUCUAAUCUGCCCAGUGAAUUUUAAAUGGCUGCAGUAUUUUAACUGUACAAAGGUAGCAUAAUAAUUAGUUUCUUAAUUAGGAACUGGAAUGAAAGAUUGAACGAGACAAUAACUGUCUUAAUUUAAUUUAAAGAAUUUUAUUUUUAAGUUAAAAAGCUUAAAUUUUUUUAAAAGACGAGAAGACCCUAUAGAAUUUUAUUUGAUUAUGAAAUUUGGAUUUUAGUAAUUGAAUUUUAAAUUUUUAUAUGAAAAUUUAGUUGGGGUGAUUGAAAAAUUUAUUAAACUUUUUUUAAAUUUUAAUCAUAAAUUUAUGAUUUAUUGAUCCAAUAUUGUUGAUUAUAAGAUUAAAUUACCUUAGGGAUAACAGCGUAAUUUUUUUAGAGAGUUCUUAUCGAUAAAAGAGAUUGCGACCUCGAUGUUGGAUUAAAAUAAAUUUUUAAUGUAGAAGUUAAAAUAUUAGGUCUGUUCGACCUUUAAAAUUUUACAUGAUCUGAGUUUAAAUCGGCGUGAGCCAGGUUGGAUUCUAUCUUUAAUUAGGUUAAAUAUUUUAGUACGAAAGGACCAGAUAUUUAUUAUAGUAAUUUAUAUAGAAUAUUA